rnacentral:rRNA from 1 species
CCGGCCAAAUCGCGUGAAGGAAGACGGUAUUAUGUAUUGUAAACUUCUUUUAUAAGGGAAUAAAGUGCCUCAUGUAUGGGGUUUUGUAAGUACCUUAGGAAUAAGCAUCGGCUAACUCCGUGCCAGCAGCCGCGGUAAUACGGAGGAUGCGAGCGUUAUCCGGAUUUAUUGGGUUUAAAGGGUGCGUAGGCUGGCUAAUAAGUCAGCGGUGAAAACUUGUCGCUUAACGAUAAGCCUGCCGUUGAAACUGUUAGUCUUGAGAGUGAACGAGGUAGGCGGAAUUAGUGGUGUAGCGGUGAAAUGCAUAGAUAUCACUAGGAACCCCGAUAGCGCAGGCAGCUUACCAGGCCACGACUGACGCUGAAGCACGAAAGUGUGGUUAUCAAACAGGAUUAGAUACCCUGGUAGUCCACACAGUAAACGAUGAUUACUAGCUGUUUGCGAUAUACAGUAAGCGGCUGAGCGAAAGCAUUAAGUAAUCCACCUGGGGAGUACGCCGGCAACGGUGAAACUCAAAGGAAUUGACGGGGGCCCGCACAAGCGGAGGAACAUGUGGUUUAAUUCGAUGAUACGCGAGGAACCUUACCCGGGCUCGAACGGCUGAUGCAUAUAGGAGAGAUUUUAUAGUCGCAAGACAUCAGUCGAGGUGCUGCAUGGUUGUCGUCAGCUCGUGCCGUGAGGUGUCGGCUUAAGUGCCAUAACGAGCGCAACCCUUACCGUUAGUUACCAUCAGGUCAAGCUGGGGACUCUAACGGGACUGCCACCGUAAGGUGUGAGGAAGGUGGGGAUGACGUCAAAUCAGCACGGCCCUUACGUCCGGGGCUACACACGUGUUACAAUGGGUGGUACAAAGGGCAGCUACUUAGUGAUAAGAUGCUAAUCUCUAAAACCACUCCCAGUUCGGAUUGGAGUCUGCAACCCGACUCCAUGAAGCUGGAUUCGCUAGUAAUCGCGCAUCAGCCAUGGCGCGGUGAAUACGUUCCCGGGCCUUGUACACACCGCCCGUCAAGCCAUGAAAGCCGGGGGUACCUAAAGUACGUAACCGCAAGGAUCGUCCUAGGGUAAAACUGGUAAUUGGGGCUAAGUCGUAACAAGGUAGCCGUACCGGAAGGUGCGGCUGGAACACCUCCUU